AACAAUAACGUCAUUCUGCUGCUUAUUGUCUCUGUACUCAAACAUGAGCAGUCUUACAGAAACUGGUAAAUUUCAUUUGAAAGACAGCAUCUUCUCCAUGAAAACACAGAACAUUGAGCCACUUCACUUCAUUCUGUAGGGAGCAACUUGGCUUCUCCCUAGGAGUUUUCCGUGCUCAUAGAAGACAUGAUAAGGGAUGAGUGUAAAGCAGGUAUCUCUUGUUCUUUUCCUCAGCUGUCGCUCCAGGUUUCUCGAGACCACUGUAUUACUGUCACCCAUCCUUUCCUCGUUGUAGCGCUGUUUCCUCGGCCACCUGGGCAAUGUGUGAUCGGACCCGCUGGAAAAGGCAGUUUCCCUCCUGGGGGCAGAGUCCGGCCGAGUACCGGAAAGGCGACGCGCGGCCGGGCAGGGGCAGCCCAGUGCCCGGCUCUGCAGGGGGCGCCGCGGGCGGGAGGCGGGGCCGGGAGGAGCCCGGUGCCGUGUCCCGCGUCCCGCGCCGCGCCGGGGGCGAGGGAGCGCCCGCGGGGGAUGCACCGCCGUGCCGCGCCGCCGAUGUGAGGGGAGGGGAGCGGCCCCUUCCCCGCCAGCCCCGGACCAUGGCGGCCCCCGGAGCCCCUGGAGAAUAUGAUGUGCUGAUUGUGUAUGCAAGUGACGCUGCUGAAUGGUGUCAGUACCUCCAGAACCUCUUCCUCUUUACUUGGCAAGUUCGAAAGCAUCGGAUUCUGAGCUACCAGCUGGAAGACGACUCUGCCAUCUCCCCACAGGAGCUGGACCUGUUCAGCAGAAGUCGGAGUAUCAUCCUUUUGCUUUCUGCUGAACUGGUGCAGAGUUUUUACAUUCCUCACAUCCUGCACAGCCUUCAGGAAGCUUUAUGGCCCCCAUGCAAAGUGGUCAAGCUGUUCUGUGGUGUGACGGACUGUGAUGACUAUUUGACCUUUUUCAAGGACUGGGCUCAGUGGCAAGAACUCACAAAUGAUGAUGAGCCUGAUGCUUACCUUGCAGCUGUUGAGAAGGCUAUUUCAGAAGACUCAGGCUGUGACUCUGUGACUGAUACAGAAACAGAAGACGAGAAGAAUCCAGUUGACUCCCACAGACUUGCCAUGAGUGAAGAACAUGGAUCCUCCAAGAGCACUGGGGAUUGUCCAGUGGUGCAGCCCAGCCGCAUACAAUGUGGGGUGCAGACAACAGUUUAUAUUAUCAUGAAAUGUAAACUAGAUGGUGAAAUGAAAACUGAAGUUGAAUUUUCUCCAGAGAAUGCAUCCUCUGUGCGUGUGCUGGCUGAGAUGGAGAAUGAGUACACAAUCUCUGUGAAGGCUCCAAAUUUAACCUCUGGGACAGUGACCCUGCAGAUAUAUUCAGGGGACUUGAUGGUGGGAGAAACAAGUGUCACUUACCAUACUGACAUGGAGGAAAUCAGCAAUCUGUUGGCUAAUGCAGCCAACCCUGUACAGUUCAUGUGCCAGGCCUUUAAAAUUGUGCCAUACAGCAUAGAAGCCCUGGAUAAACUAUUGACUGAGUCACUCAAGAAGAACAUUCCUGCCAGUGGUCUUCACCUGUUCGGAAUCAACCAGCUGGAAGAAGAAGAUAUGACAGCAAAUCAGAGGGAUGAGGAGUUGCCAACACUGCUUCACUUCUCUGCGAGAUACGGGCUGAAGAACCUUACUGCCUUGCUGCUUACAUGCCCUGGAGCACUGCAGGCCUACAGCGUAGCCAACAAGUAUGGCCACUAUCCAAACACCAUAGCAGAAAAGCAUGGCUUUAAGGAUCUCCGCCAGUUCAUUGAUGAAUAUGUGGAAACUGCAGAUAUGCUAAAGAGUCACAUUAAGGAAGAGCUGAUGCAAGGCGAGGAGGAUGAGUCUGUUUAUGAGUCCAUGGCUCAUCUGUCCACUGAUCUGUUAAUGAAAUGUUCCUUGAAUCCAGGCUCCGAUGAAGAGCUUUAUGAAUCCAUGGCUGGAUUUGUCCCGGGUGCCCCAGAAGAUCUUUAUGUAGAGAUGCUUCAAUCCAAACCAGACACUCCAGUUGCUGGAGAUGAAGUUUCUAUAACUACAAAAGACUCAAUGCUCCGCAAGUUUUUGGAAGGUGGUAGCAUGGAUGUGCCAGAUUCUGAGCAUGGAGGUCAGGACCAGUAUGGUGAAGACGUGUACUACUCAGUGGAACAAGACCCUUUUCCCCAGGAAAUGGCUAACAGACCUCCAGUUCCUGUUCCAAGACCAGAAUCUAGCUCUCCACAGCCAGACAAUGAGCUGUACAUCUCCAAAAUUUUUGCACAGAAGGCUCAAAGACCUGAGAAUCUUUAUGUCCCUAGAGGAAGGGUUAAGAAAGAGACAAUAGUCAGGCCUGUAAGGGACCUGUCUCAAUCAAGUAUAUAUGAUCCAUUUGCUGGAAUGAAAACCCCAGGUCAGCGGCAGCUGAUUACAUUACAGGAGCAAGUGAAAAUGGGCAUCCUCACUGUGGAUGAAGCUGUACUUCAUUUUAAGGAGUGGCAACUGAACCAGAAAAAGAGAUCAGAAUCAUUCCGGUUCCAGCAGGAAAAUCUGAAACGUCUACGAGACAGCAUAACCAGGAGGCAAAUGGAGAAGCAAAAAAAAUACAAAAGUGCAGAUUUGGAAAUUACAGUACCUAUUCGACAUUCUCAUAACACUUUGGGGAAACCAGAAUGUGGAAUAUAUGAAUACACCCCCAGGAAAAACCUUUUUCCACCAAAAAGGGAGUUAAAACGAGGAGACUGGAAAACGGAAAGCACAUCCAGCACAACAAGUAGUGCAAGCAACCGCUCCAGCACUCGGAGUAUAUUGAGUGUCAGCAGUGGGAUGGAAGGGGACAGUGAGGACAGCGAAGUCCCAGAAACAGCAAGGAGCCGCAGCCCAGUUCCUCACCAAGUAGAGAGGCUUCCUUUCCCAGAAAGGCCUCCCAGAGUGCCUCCUCGAGGUGCAAGCAGGAGAAAGUUACCAAACUAUCAAAGUUUUACUCCAACCAACCAUUAUAGCAUCCCUUUCUAGUAAUAGUAGAAUUACUGCAGCUGAAGAACAGAAGAAAAGUCUUGGACAGGAACAAUGCUCUGGCAGCUUGGCAUCUGCUCUGUUGCUCAAUCAGCCUGUUUUUCUUCUUGUAUGACUACUGAUUGUAAAGCCUAUAAGCUGUGAAGGCUUUUAUCCUCCACCUGUGCCUCCAAGAGGUCGCUGAAUCUCUCAACAUCUGUGGAAAAUGAGAUUUUUUUUGUUUAUAUAUGUGUUUGUACAGAUAUUUUUUUGGGCUGCGUUAAAUUAUUUAUAAGUGGGACCCAAAUGAUUUCAUCCCCUUCAUCCUCCCUGAAGCCCUGGUGUGUUUUCCCGUGAUUUUCACUGGGGCUUCUUGGCGGUUUAUGACUUUUUCUUAGCUGGAAGAAUUUUGGUGCUUUGGGGCUUCAAGAAAAGGUAUCAUCAUUGGGAAGAACAUUGAUGUGUGUCUUGGGAGCCCUGCAUCAACAUGAAGAUCCCAUUUGAUCAAGAAAGCACAUGUGUCCUUUUAGGAACUAAAUCCUGAUAGCAUUGUUACCAAACCUUUCAAUACAGUCGACCAGGGCUUGACUGGAAAACACGCUUAAGAAGUAAAGAAAAUAAGAUGUUUGAAAAAUGCUCAUUACAGCAGGAACAGGUGAAUGGACUACUGCUCGGCAUAACAUUUUGGAUACAAUUAUACUGACCUUUCAGAAGGUGUAGCAUCCCCCUUUAGCAAUCAUUAAACCAUGAGGGGAUGAGAAAUUGUCUUAAAGAAUGUAUUUUGCAUACAGCCUUGAAAAUGCCUUUCCUUUUCCUGUUCACUUCCUGAAGAGGACAGACAAGGUGUUGUGUGUGCUGCAUUUACUAUGAAAAUUCCCUGGUAAGGGACCUUCUGUAUCACAAACCAACUGAACUUAAACCUUUCUCAUGCAGGGUGCAGGUAUGGUGUUACAAAAUCACAUGACUGAGCUCUCAAAUUAGAGAAGGGCUUGGUGGCAGUGCUGUGUUCUGUCUUUUACAUGUGGUCUGAAGGCAUUUCACUUCAGACUCUGGAACAGUAGUGAGUCUCCAAUUAUCAGUGCACACCCCUCACAAAUACCAGCCAUAUUUUAGCUGGCUGCAGUGGAAACAGACAGCCUGGGGACUGGACUCUGCUUGCUCUACUGUCCCUUUCUACCAAGGUGAAUCUGCAGCAGCUAUGUCCAGCCUUUUUUCUGCCUGAGGGCUUACAAACUUCCUGGUUUGGCUCUCUUCCAGACCUUGAAAUCUUCUGUGCAUAUCCCAACCCUUGGGGGACAGUUUACGGCUCUGAUUGUCCAUGAGUGACACAGAUGGGAAUCUGCAAGAAAACAUUCAGGGUAGAGAAUUAAACAUCAUUACAUACUUGGUUUUCAGGGAUGAAAGAGGGGGAAUGGUUUUAAAAACAGACAGAGACAUCUGUAUUAGGUGAUGCCUCAGGUAGAGGUAGGACAUGUAGAGCUUCUGAUCAUGUCAGCUUCCCUUCAUCUGUAGGAGAGCAGGUGACAGAGUUGCAGUUCCUUUCUCUUGCAGGGUGGCAAACCCAAUGUGUGAAGCUGCAGAAGUGACAGCAACCAUGACUUGACCAGCAUUGAAAGAAGGUGGAGGAGCCCCUGCUCCUUUCAGGGAUAUAGGCAUAUGCUAAAUAUCAUCUAUGCAUUAGACACAUAGGAUUUGGGUGACUCCAAAUGCAGUUCAUAAAUCCUCUCCUUUUGAUGGCAGAGGGAUGCAGGUGUUGUGCUGCAUACAUAGCACAACAGAUAGAAAGGUGUCCUUUCUGUUUUGGUUUUUUAAAUUUUAUUUUUUAAAGGAACCUCAGUGCUGUCUCUAGUAACUGCCACUAUAGACUCAGUGAGUUUGCUUUCAUUCGCUGUAGCCAGGGGAAUGGUGAGGUUGCCCUCCUGUGCCCUUCUUGGAAUGAAACAAGGUUUCCAGCUCUAUUAGCUCAAAUUGGAAGGAGGGACAGAGGUUUUGGUGCUGAAAUGAGGAAAACGGUAGCAAGGAUAAGUGAAGAAAUUAGGGAUAAAAGAUAAACCAAAAGAAGAAAUUCAGCAGCUUGAUUGUCUUCAGCUGUCACAUGCUUUGGUUUGCAUACAGCUCCCUGGUUUUGCUCAAAAAUUCCCUAUCUUCUUGGUGCUGAUUGCAGCUGUGCCCCAGACCUUGGAGCUGUGAUGUGGGAAGAGAAAUUUGUCUGCUUUCACAUCUGCCAGGUACAACAUACAGCAGAAUUGUAGGAUGUGGGUAAAACUGUAAUAAGGCAGGAAAGGAAGAGCAACUUAUAUGUGUAUCGUGCAGAUUUUCUUUCAACACUGUUGGACUGAAGCAGCCCAGGGAUCCAUCUUUCCAAGCUAAUUUUUAGUUCUGCAUCCCCUCCAUGUUAAAGCCAAAUGUCCUCUAUGGGAGGGAUUUAUCUGAGCAUUUGACUUUGCAGAAUCCUAAUACCAUGGCUGUGAACUGGAUAUUUACUGCUUGUGCUGUGGAGAGAUGGUUACAUCUCAGUUACUGAAAAAUAGCUCAUAAGUAGCUUUCAGUCCCUCUCCCAUUUGAAGCUUAGAUACUUCACUACUCUGAUCUGACCUCUCACAUAAAGCCAAGGGCUGGUGGGGCUCUGGGAGAGGUGAGCUGGGAAAAGGGGAACUGAGCCAUACUAUAAAUGUAUUCUGUUCAGGCCCUUCUGCACUCCUUAAGGGAGGGAAACUCUAGAUGCAGCUGUAGUUUCAGGCAUUCCUGUCUCACUGCUGCUGGAUUAGUGAGGGAUCUCAGUAACCAACAAUCACUGCAAGACUCUCACCCUAUUAAGGAAUAAAGGAACAGCACUAAAAUGGCAUUACUGUUGGAGGCAGGUAAACAACUGGAUGCAAUCAUGUCUUUCAAGCCUCUUACAGGCCAGCAGCAAUGCACCUGCUUAGCCACCCAAGUGUGUUCCACAUAGGCUGGAUUCAUCUAGUUGCUUUCAGCCUGGUACAUUUCAAUGUAUGCAGUCCCUGUAUCCGUAUGUUUUGCUGGUGAGCAUGUGGUGUGUGUUGCUUCGACCCAGGAUGAGAAAUGCACUGAAACUGAAGAUCAGAAGAGACCAGAGAAGAAAACAGCAUGCAUGCAGAUUGCUGGUUACUUAAGAAUAUGCUUGGGAGGGAAAGUGGAAAGGGAAAUAUGAACAGUGUUUCUGAUAAAUAUUAAGAGUUCAAGGACUGAACAGAUAAUAAAAUUGCUUGUAAAAACUUAA